GGUUAGGGUUCAGGGCUGCCGGGGACUCUUCUACCCCGAAGGAGCUCUGUUUUCAGACUAAGCUCUGAAAACGUUGUUUGGGCUCCUGGCUCCGGCUGGGAGUUAAGGACCCCAGAGCCCGGAAAGGACGACAGAGAAGGUCCUUGAAGACCUCACCGAGUCUGCCACCCAGCUGUACCCAAGGCUAACUUUAUCCUGGAUCAUCUUGUCCUCUCCACAAAUUUCCACCUCCACAAAGGGACACGCAAUACUUCGUCCAAGUUUGGGGAGAUGGCGAGCCCCGAGAACCUAGGACACCAAAGGUUCAAGCAACGUGUGAGCUGGAACCAAAGCGAGGAGGAGCUGGGGGCGAAAAUUUAAAGCCCACCCCACCUGCAUGAAAUCACACCACCAGCCGGGGUGGGAACAGGGGAUAAGGUGCACACUGCAAAGAGGUCAGUGAACCAAGCGGAAUUUGUAAACAGCACGGGCUCAGUCAGUGAGCAAGAAACAUCUGAAAGACUUUUAAUUAAUUAGAAGCCAUUUGGCUCAAAGGUGGUUCAUCAAACCUCAGAAUUUUAGCAAGGCACCGUCGCUUUUAGGUGAAAUUCUAUUAACCUCUUCCCUGAAACCCGAUGUCUCAUUGUCAGUCAUCGUUUAUUCUCAAAAAAAUAAAAUCACCUGGGAGGGGGCAAGUUUGCCCGAAAGCUCCCUUGCCCUGCUAGGCUGGGGGCGUGGGGUGGACUCUGCCUCAUUCUAGGGACUGGGUCGUGGUGUGAAUGGGAGAG